rnacentral:lncRNA from 1 species
AGCUCCCCUUUCUUCAAGUGCAUCAACAAGCAAAUGCACCACAGAAACCGCAUGCUCAUCGAGAGAUUCAGCUGACCCUAAACUUUGCAUUGACUCACACUGCUGGCGUGAGAUCCAGAGACACCAAGUAGCCAGCCUUCUACGGAGGGGCCUCGCCUGGCUUCGUUUGACUUUUCUGCUCUGGAAACACCUGGCGGAAUUCAAGGAAUGAAACAAAUGCCACUUGUUGAAGACUAGCUUCCCCCAGAGAGAGACUGAGAUGGAGGCCCAGGGGGUUUGCUGGAGACCUUCACCGGGCGUCUGGGUGUUGGG